rnacentral:siRNA from 1 species
CAAACCCGUCUCGCCAAAUCCGUC